GGGAGAGAGAGAGAGAGGGUUUUUUGACGGGGCGGAAAUUUGUUAGUGUCAGAUAGAACAUGAGCCUUUAGAUUAAGUGAGAUCAAAUCUGAGUCGUGAUUUCUCAAAUGAAAAAAUUUGAAUUAGAUUCUGUUUUAUUAUUAUAGAUUUUAAAAUAAAUCAUUAUCGAAGCGGCCCUUUCAACAGUCAACUUUCUCCCAACUAGAAUGGCACAAACUAAAACACUUACUAUUCUGUGUAUCAUCUUUUUUGAACUUUAAUGAAUUCACGUGAUAGAAUUACAGUAUAAUUUUUAUAAAUUAAUAUUUAAUAAAUUAAUAAUUUUUUUAAAAUAAUUUUUUUUUCAAUCCCGAUUUGAGUUAAUAGGAUAAAUUAAUAAUUUUGAUAAAAUAAUAAUUUUUAAAGAACCCUUAUAUAAAUAUAUGAUCAAAAUCAUAAAUUAAUAAUUUUUUUAAAUUAUAAAUAUAUCUAGGAUAAAUUGAUGUUUAUAUAGUAGUAAUUCUAUUUAUCAUCAUACAUGGAAUAUAUUAAAUUCUAGUACAAUGAACUUAUAUAUACAAAUUAAUUAAACUUAAUGUGAAUAUAAUAUUUUUUGAAAUAUUAUGUGAAUGUAAUUUAAAAAGUGGAUACAAUGAAUAUUAUUUAAUUAUUAAAAAUAAUUAAUAUUACUUACAAAGAAUUCUAUUAUUACAUUAAUUUAAUAAGUAUGAUAUAUUGCAUCAAAAAAAAGUAUGAUAUAAAUAUCAAUAAAAUAUAAUAAUUUUAUUGUAAUUAAAUUUAUGUUCACAGAAUAAAAAAAAACUUUUUAAAUUAAUAAAUUAUUAAUUUAUUAAUUAAAUAAUAAUUCUCUAAAUUAAUAAAAAAAUUUAAUCCUAAUAAUAUUAAUUUAUAGAGAUUCUACUGUAUCUCUGUAUAGAUAAUUCAAAUGUCCCCAAAAGUUUCUGACCUGGGUUUUGGUGUUUGUGUCACACAAAUAGUAUUUUUUUUUUCUCUUUUGUAUCAUAAAAUAACAUUAUUUUUAAAAUUUAUAAUACAUUAUUUUUUACAGAAUACGAAAAGGUGUGUAUUAUUAUUAUUAUUAUUAUUAUAUUUAUAUAUAAUUGUAUAAAAACAUGUCAUUUUUGUGAGAUAGCUCACUCAAUUUGUUGUCACAUAUUUUUUUUAAUUUAGUACUUUUUUUUAAUAUAAAUAGAAUAAGUUUUUAAUUUAAUUUUCAAAUUAAUUAUAAGUCCCCCCAAGUUUAUUAAGUGAACCAAACACCACCUAAGGUCUGUAAGGCGUGGGUUCACUGUUCAUCUUCUUUGGUAAAAUCAGCCAAUUUGUGAACAGAUUCCCAAAUUGACUGUUCUGUUCUGUUCAUCAGAAGAAGAAGAAGAAGAGAAAGGAAGAUGACAGAGGCUGUGAUAAGGAACAAACCUGGAAUGGCCAGCGUGAAGGACAUGCCUAUCCUUCAGGACGGCCCCCCUCCCGGCGGCUUUGCUCCGGUUCGCUACGCCCGGAGGAUCCCAAGCAAAGGUCCCAGCGCCGUCGCUAUCUUUUUUGCUGCUUUGGGUACUUUCUCUUGGGGCAUGUACCAGGUCGGCAAAGGUAACAAGAUCCGAAGGUAUACCCACAUUUUCCCACAUUUCUCUAUGUAUUCGUAAUUGGGUUUUAUUUAUUUACUUUUUUUAUGUGGGUAGUGUUUGAUUAUGUUAGAGUGAUGAUGGUGGGUGUUUAAGUCUGGAAAUAGUAAUAAUAUUUUGAAGGAGUCCAAUAAAGUGAGGAAUUUUUUUAUGGGUGUUGUUGAUUUGAGCUGUUAUAUUGGUAGUUAUGUGGGAUUUGAUUUUUCUUGUCAUGUUCUUUGAGUUUUACAGGUUUUUCAAAUUACACAUUAAUACUAAACCAGAAUUCCUAGGGUGCAAAAUUUGAUAUUUAGGUGUAAAUUUGAAAUAUUAACACCAGAGUUCAGGAUCUUGGAAUAUAUCUUAAAUUAUUGUAAUGAUGUUGUUGAUUGAGCUGGAAAUUGGGGGGAAGUAUGUACUCAAGUGUUGAGACUUGAAGGAACUGCUAAUAUGAAGUUAAUUUGUUAAGCUCGUAAACUUCUGCAAGGUAUAAUUAUAUUGGUGGAUUACUAUUGAAAUUAACUACGGACUCAAAAGUUUUAAAAGCAUGAGUAGCUUUUCCUACAAUGAUGGUAAUUACCAAUGCCCGUAUGUUAUGAAUAAACAAUUAAAGCAACAACAGUGUUUGAUUUGUAACAUAUUGAAAGGGAUAUGCCAAAAUGAGAAUGGCCAAGCAGAGCAUGUGAAAAGGAUUGUCCAGUUUACUCAAAAUCAGAGUCCUAAAAUGUCAACUUGAGUUGAGUCGUAGUCCUCUUGAAACUGCUCAAUUGAUUAAAGCAUGUAUGUCAGUGUGAAAUUUAAGCAUAGGUAGUGAAGGUGGAAAACUGGAAGUACAUUGAUUCAAGAAAGAAGCAGGCGUUACAUAUUUGAAUUAAGUCGAGGUUCAAAUUAUUACCAAAAAAGAGGAAAAGGCAGAAACAGUAGGGAUGUCAUGACAACCUAUACGUACUUUUAUCUACACAAUAUAUGCCUCCUGAUCCAAAGCUGACUUUUGGGGGAAUUCUUUAUUCUUCAUCUUUUGAUAGGAGAAUAUGAUGCAGUUUUUCAUUAUGCCUUGUAAUAUUAUGAUUUACUGGUAUUGUGUCUUGGAAUCUCAAGGUUUCAUGUAUUCAUCAUGUCAUCUAUGAUCUAUUAUAUGGAUUAUGGACAUGCCUACUGCCAGUUUGUUAUCCGUCUCUUUAUUGUUCCACAAGUAUUUUUAGUUGCCUGCCUUUCUUAAACAUUAACUUUUGCUACUCCUACUAGCGUACUACAAUACAAUAAGAAGAGUAAUAAUAUAUAUGAUUGGAUCUUUAUACAGGCUCCACUUUUAUCAUCCUUUUAUAAAAGUAUCAGCAAUAUAGUUUAGUUAAAGGAUCAAUAAUAAUUGAUGCCCAAAGCUGUUAUACAGUUAACAAUUUGAAAUCACCAAGGCAUGGUAUGCUGAUAAUAUCUGUGUUGUGUAGAGCAAUUAAGGAAGAAAAAUAUACAGCUCGCAGAGCUAUCCUGCCCAUGCUUCAAGCCGAAGAGGAUGAAAGGUAAUUUAAUUUUUUCCUUCUGCAGUCUUUUCCUCUAAUAAGUUCCAAAUUAGUUAACCUUGUCAUCUUCUCCAUUCUGGUUGCUUCUAUAGAUUUGUAAAAGAAUGGAAAAAAUAUCUCGAGGAAGAGGCCCGAAUCAUGAAGGAUGUUCCUGGUUGGAAAGUUGGUGAAAGUGUCUACCACUCUGGACGAUGGAUGCCUCCUGCAACAGGUGAGCUCCGUCCCGACGUCUGGUAAGUAUCAGGUUUGGUGUUAGUUGCUGUUCGUUUGGGUGCUUAUGCGAUUGUCAAGAACCACUGUUUUCUUCUUCAUCUGAAGUUGAUGGUUUCCAUGGGUUUUUUGUCAGUUUGUGUUUCUUCCCAGGAAAUAAACGUUGUAUCUAAAACAAUCUUCUAUAUGCACAUAGAUGUUGCAACAAUAUCUCUAUGUUAAAUCUGCGGGAUGUAUCCUUUCCCCAGAUUAUGUCAAAAAUUUGUAGAAUUUCCAUCAUCUAUUAAAGUUUUUGGAUAUCACUAUUGAACUGUAGAUGUCCAGGUCUUUCUUUCAUAUUUACUUGCAGUUUCCAAACUCCAUUUUAUUAAAUGAUUUGUUGAUGGUCUCGGAGACAACUUUUUUUGCUUGGGAAUUGUGUGCAAUGUGAUACAAGUUUGAUCCACUUAUUUUAAAUUUAGAUGAUGGCUCUAUACCAUCUUGUUUUAGAUGAGAUUUUCUGAGAUAAAUUUAUUCUGUUCCAAUAUGUUUUGGGAAAGAAUUUUUUUUUUUUUUUACUAAUAUAUCAUGACCUACGUUUUUAUUGCGACAUCUCAUUAAAAUGCAGACAUCAUUUGCAACUCUAGUUAAAAGGUGUAAAUGAAUCGACGACUCCGAGUAUUGAGUUUUUCGGAUUUGGUUCACAAAAUUUAUCGAUUUAUCGAGUAUAAAAUAUAGUUUGAUUUUGAUUUUGUUAAGGCCACCGAUAAUGACAUAACAAUAAUUAUGUUGUUAAGGUAACAAGUGUCCUUAAAAGUUUGAAAUGUCGUUAAAAUAAGUGUAAAUUGACGUCAAAUGUGUGUGCUCGCAUAAAAAUUUUGUAAGUAAUAAAUUAUUAUAAUUGUAUCAAUUAAAAAUAAAUAAAUUUAUAUCAAUUUGAAGUUUAAUAUGACGUCGUUUGAACUUUUAAAGUGAUCUAUUUAAUAUUUUUGAGGAUAAUUAAAAUCAAAAAUAAAAAUAAACAUGACAUGACAUGACAUUUCAAUUUGAUUAUGUUAUAUUUUCACAUGAUUCUUCAAUCUCGAAGGACAAAAGGAAUGCUUGUUUAGGCAUUCUUGCUCUCACUUGACGAGUUACAUCAAGUGAAUCCCAUAUCAAUGUGAGAUAGGCUCAUGCAAAAAUUCCUUAAAAUAAACUUUAGAUAGCAUUUUACACAUUUAACUUAUUUACUUAAGACACAUAUUAUGAGUCUUUUCUUCUUCUUUUUUUGGCGUGGGUGUGCUAUAUGUAUGCAUCAAUCAUCUUUCUAAUUUUUUACUUGGCAACACUUGUUACUUUUGCAGUAAUAAACUAUAAAUAUUGUCAUCAUUAACGACAACCUUGAUUUGUUAUUCUAUUUUUUAAGCAUAACCCGAAAGUAUACUCCAAUAGAUGGUUAAAAUAACAUAAAACCAGAAUCAGAUCAGAAGUUGAUUAAUCUCUAUGCUACAAUAUAUAAUAUAAUCUCUCUAUUCUAUCCAAAAGGUUGAUGUUUAUUAAGUACAUUCUAUUGAGUAAAGAUACAAACUGAAGAACUAGAAAGAACAAAAACCAAACAAACAGAAAAACACAUCCGGGGUUCGAUAACUUUCAUAUAAACACUGCAAUUCAAACUUUUAAAGAGAAACUACUAAAUGGUGAACCUGAAAGCUGGAAAAAGUGGACCUGUUCCCCCUUUCUUGUCAGCAUCCGGGAUGCUGGAGUAGGAGUAAAGGUUGUUCGACAUUUCCCAGCCCCAGUCCUGCUUUCUCGACACAGACAUUCGAGGCCAACGGUUAAUCCUCACAUAGUGCUCCCUGAUCUUACCGUCGCCCAAGAAACUGGUAACGAUGCAGUAACAGGCCUCGUGGCCCCCCCAUACCAUGUCAUCUGCGUCUGCAGUUUGGCUCCCGUCAGGAUGGAAGUAGCGGCGCAUCAGUUGCCCUGUACCCUUCCAAUAGGGAUCAAGAUUACGAAAAUAUUCUGGGGCCACCUGAAAUUAGAGGUUAUCCGGAUCACAUCCAAUGUGAACUUAAUAAUUUCGGCUAUGAUUCCUCAAUCCAGCCAAAAUUCCUUCACCACAUACUUCAGUGAUGAAAGCAAUUCAAAGGCACCCUAAAUCCCUCAUUUCUUCAUCCACAUCCCACACAGCCACUUAAAUAGAUUCUUGAUAAAAUUUGCAUACUGAAAAACUAUAAAAAGAUACUACUCUUAUGAACUGAGUAACGAGUUAUACUAUACACUUUACCUUAAAUAUGUGAAUCCAAAGGCACAUACCUUGUUAAAAUGAAACUCCCAAUCAUGAUCCCACAAGUCUUCCUUCAUGAUACGGGUCUGACAUCAAGUUUCCAAUAGAAAGUCAUAGCAGGUACAGCAGAGCAUGUAGUUAUAGCAUGUGUGAUUCUGCAAGUGGGAGAAGGGGGAAGGGGGGAGGGGGGGAGAGAGAGGAGAGAGACAGAGACUUACACGUUUACCAUCUAUAACAGACAAUGAGUAAGCUUCCAACUUUGAUAGCCCACGGACUUGUGAUAUGCGAGGUAUGUGUGCUUUCCCAUGCCAUAGUUCCUCACACUAUGAUGAAAUUCAUGCAAUCAAAUUAGGCUCUUAAUGUUUAAAUCAUCACAACAAAGUGACAUGUAAUUGAUUCAUAUUUUUAACAAAAGUAAUUUUUACAUCCACAUGCAAUAUCUAAUUAUCAUCAGGUAAACAAG
rnacentral:lncRNA from 1 species